rnacentral:rRNA from 1 species
AGUUCGUGGAGUGAUCUGUCUGCUUAAUUGCGUUUCACAACGAUUUAAAAUGCUAUGUUCCUGCGUUUGCUGUUCGGUUACUUACGGGUGACUUUGAACGCACGCGGCGUAGUUUAAAACAAUCGGAAAGCAACGAACGUGACCGCAACCUCUUGUUGCCUUUAUUUUUUAAAAGCAUUGUAAAUAAUCUUUUUCGGAAGGUUAUCUUUUACAUGUUUGAAAAAGGCUUUAAAACUAGAGGGACCGCUGUUCUAUUUUCUUAAACCAGAGGAAGAUUGCGGCAAUAACAGGU